UGAUUUGAUUGCGGAGAAGAAUCA
rnacentral:miRNA from 1 species